GCGGAGGAAAAGAAACUAACAAGGAUUCCCUCAGUAACGGCGAGUGAAGCGGGAAGAGCUCAAAUUUAAAAUCUGGCUUGCUUGCAAGUCCGAGUUGUAGUCUGAAGAAGCGUUUUCCAURAGCACURAGGCACAAGUCCCUUGGAACAGGGCAUCAUAGAGGGUGAGAAUCCCGUCCAUGGUCUYAWGUUGCUUAUUUUGUGAUACGCUUUCAAAGAGUCAGGUUGUUUGGGAAUGCAGCCUAAAAUGGGUGGUAAAUUUCAUCUAAAGCUAAAUAUUGGCGAGAGACCGAUAGCGAACAAGUACCGUGAGGGAAAGAUGAAAAGAACUUUGAAAAGAGAGUUAAACAGUACGUGAAAUUGUUGAAAGGGAACCGUUUGAAGCCAGUCUUACUUGCCUGUGAUCAGUUUGUACCUCGGUAUGAAUGCACUCUUGGGUAUGGUAGGCCAACGACAGUUUGGAGUGCGAGAAAAAAACUUGGGAAAUGUGGCCUUCGGGUGUUAUAGUCCCUYGUAAAAUAUCGUGUUCCGGACUGAGGAUCGCAGUAAAAAUGUGGGCAGGUAGAUUUCUGUGGCGAAGUGUUURUUAGGACAACUUGUUGACCUAGUUUKCACUGAACUUCACUGUUUGCCUCGCUUUCUAAUUUGCUUAGGUCGUUGGCAUAAUGGCUUUAAAUGAC
rnacentral:rRNA from 1 species